UUUACUUCACCAUUAACCAUCCCAUAACCUCCGGUGCACCCACAUUUUUCAAACAAAUAUUUAACAACACCUCACAAUACUCUACACAAAAGUAUAAGAGAAAAAGAAAAAAGUCAAAUACAAACUUAAAGUGAGUUUGACUGAUGUAUGUGCGUGUGUGUUUAACUUAUGCCAUCAAAUUUAUCAUAUUCAUCAUCAAU
rnacentral:lncRNA from 1 species